rnacentral:lncRNA from 1 species
AGCCAACAGAGGAGAAUGACAAGGAGGGGCAAUGAUGAUCCAAGGAGGUGGCAGAUCCUCAGGAAACACAGGGUACUGGAAACUGCUACCAUUGCCCAGACUAGCAGAAUAGAUUUCACCUUCGAAAGCGACCCUGGCCUGGAUCCUGCUGCUUCUGCCACAUCUAUUUCCAGCUUCCUCUUCCUACUGGCCUCCUUCUGAAGUCCCAACAUGAUGUCCUGCCAAGUCACACAGGUGAAGAUAUAGGUUUGGAAAGGGGAUAUAACUUUCCAUGGUCAAAAGCAAAUAAACUGAACAUCUCAGCCAGCCCAUCUGCUUGGAGCCCUCUGCCUUAAAGCCACAUCACUCUCUGAGAUGAAACACCAGCCAGACAGGGUGAAGACAGGAGCGAGCUCCAGGUUUACAAGUGAUAGGAUCCCUGUGGAUUUCUAGUUCAGACUGAAAAUCCAUGAAAUUUAGAAUAAUAUGGGGAUAGUUUACAGACAUGUGAACUUUUACUGUGUAUGUUUUACUUACAAUGCAAUACCUAAUACUUCCACUGCGACAUCAGCAAACAUCCUUAGCCCUGUUUGCCACUGCACCACAGAGCUUUUCAUGCAAACUAACAUUACAGUAUGAUACAAAGAAAACUGUUUCUUCUUAAGAUAUUUACAAUGUGAUCAGGUUUAUUUAAAUAAAGUCCAUUUUAUACUAGCUUUAGAAUUGUCAUUAAUUUUAAAAGGCAGUAAUAUGCCAUCAAAUUCGUUCCUAAUCUUUUACAAGUGUUAUUUUUCCUUGCUAUUUUCAUUUUAUCAUUAUUCUCUCCAAAAGUCUGCAAAUUGAUUUUGGGGAAAAUAGGUAGAUAUACCACACUAAAGUUGCAGACACCUAAACGUCCAUGAAGACUUACUUUUUUUACUCAGGCCAGGCCUAAUGUCAGCUGCACAAAACCAUGAGGCUCAGCCCUGGAAAGAAGAAUGUUUCCACUUUUGCCCUCAGUCCUUCUUCACUAUUCAGCUUCUGCAUGAAUGUCCCUGUGUGCUUUCAUAAUCUCACAUUAUCCUAGUAUUGUGCUUCUAUAUUUUUCUAAUUUCUAAUUUCUAAAUUUUCUUUUCAAUAAAACUUAAGGACUGCUGAGUUUUUAUCCAGGACCAGGAAAAAAUAAAAAUCAGCACUCUGACAAUAAAAGUUGCUUUGAGAUUGCA